rnacentral:rRNA from 1 species
GACGAACGCUGGCGGCGUGCUUAACACAUGCAAGUCGAACGGAAAGGCCCUUCGGGGUGCUCGAGUGGCGAACGGGUGAGUAACACGUGAGUAACCUGUCCUUGUCUUUGGGAUAACCUUCGGAAACGGGGGCUAAUACCGGAUAUUCCCGCAUCACCGCAUGGUGGGGUGGGGAAAGCUUUUGCGGAUUGGGGUGGGCUCGCGGCCUAUCAGCUUGUUGGUGGGGUGAUGGCCUACCAAGGCUUUGACGGGUAGCCGGCCUGAGAGGGCGACCGGCCACACUGGGACUGAGACACGGCCCAGACUCCUACGGGAGGCAGCAGUGGGGAAUAUUGCACAAUGGACGCAAGUCUGAUGCAGCGACGCCGUGUGAGGGAUGACGGCCUUCGGGUUGUAAACCUCUUUCGUCAGGGACGAAGCCGGUUUUGCCGGUGACGGUACCUGGAGAAGAAGCGCCGGCCAACUACGUGCCAGCAGCCGCAGUAAAAC